AUCGAACGCUGGCGGCAGGCCUAACACAUGCAAGUCGAGCGGCGCGGCGGACGGGGGAGUAAUCACUAGUAAUCUGCCUGGGCGUGGGGGAUCACGUUCGGAAACGGACGAUAUUACCGCAUACUAUCCGCUGUGCCUCGGUCGGCUGAGCUAGUUGGUGCGGUAAUGGCUCACCAAGGUUACGAUCCGUAACUGCUCUGAGAGGAUGAUCAGUCACACUGGAACUGAGACACGGUCCAGACUCCUACGGGAGGCAGCAGUGGGGAAUAUUGGACAAUGGGCGAAAGCCUGAUCCAGCCAUGCCGCGUGUGUGAAGAAGGUCUUCGGAUCGUAAAGCACUUUAAGUUGGGAAGCGUUACCGACAGAAUAAGCACCGGCUAACUCGGUGCCAGCAGCCGCGGUAAUAC
rnacentral:rRNA from 1 species